CAGUCGCCGCGGGAAUACAGAGGGUGCGAGCGUUAAUCGGAUUUACUGGGCGUAAAGCGUGCGUAGGCGGCUUUUUAAGUCGGAUGUGAAAUCCCUGAGCUUAACUUAGGAAUUGCAUUCGAUACUGGGAAGCUAGAGUAUGGGAGAGGAUGGUAGAAUUUCAGGUGUAGCGGUGAAAUGCGUAGAGAUCUGGAGGAAUACCGAUGGCGAAGGCAGCCAUCUGGACUAAUACUGACGCUGAGGUACGAAAGCAUGGGGAGCAAACAGGAUUAGAUACCCCUGUAGUCCCUGUCUCUUAUAC
rnacentral:rRNA from 1 species